AUUGAACGCUGGCGGCAUGCUUUACACAUGCAAGUCGAACGGUAACAGGCCGCAAGGUGCUGACGAGUGGCGAACGGGUGAGUAAUGCAUCGGAACGUGCCCAGUCGUGGGGGAUAACUACUCGAAAGAGUAGCUAAUACCGCAUACGAUCUAUGGAUGAAAGCGGGGGACCGUAAGGCCUCGCGCGAUUGGAGCGGCCGAUGUCAGAUUAGGUAGUUGGUGGGGUAAAGGCUCACCAAGCCAACGAUCUGUAGCUGGUCUGAGAGGACAACCAGCCACACUGGGACUGAGACACGGCCCAGACUCCUACGGGAGGCAGCAGUGGGGAAUUUUGGACAAUGGGCGCAAGCCUGAUCCAGCAGUGCCGCGUGCAGGAAGAAGGCCUUCGGGUUGUAAACUGCUUUUGUACGGAACGAAACGGCUCUGGUUAAUACCCGGGGCUAAUGACGGUACCGUAAGAAUAAGCACCGGCUAACUACGUG
rnacentral:rRNA from 1 species